rnacentral:lncRNA from 1 species
CCUCGCUGUCGCGGUCUGACGGCCAGUAGACAUAGUCGUCGGGGCAGGUGUGCCGUGGCGGACUCUGCCAGGGCAAAGGCACGCAGGUCCAGGCACAGUCGUUGAUUGUGACGCCUGCAAAUGUCGGAUCGGCACACGCAGAGGAAAAGACAAAGCGGGUAAUGUCGUGCAUGAUUCCCCGACUGGUCCAUUGCGCACCACACUCGUCGCCGUUGGCCAGAAUGGCGGUCCUGGUUAGGACUCUCUGCCCUGACGCUGCGCAUGGGCGAGGGGUUGCGCGAUCAUACACGUAGACUCGGUGUUUGCUACGCACGACGCCGCCGUCGGACCGCAUUCGAUCCUGAUCGUCCCAUACGACCUCGUGCUUUAGGUGGGUACCACUGGACCAUGAAACGUUGCCGAUGGCCGUCGAGCGCGGGCCGCCAUGGUACCACACGCCCUGGAAUGACGUGCCGUCGGGCAGGGUGCAACGACCGCGGUGCCUCUGGCCCAACCGCCACUCGCCCGAGUACACUUUGCCGUCGGGGUAAAAGGCCUUGCCCUCGCCGUGGGGGAGCCUGGUGGUGUCGGGUUGGAGCGGCGUCCAGGCCGGCGGAGCGCGCUUGCCAACGGCAGUGGUGAUCCACCACCAUUCGCGCAGGGCAGUAUCUCUGGACGAGGUAAAGUCGAGGCCGCGAGUCGAUUCGGGCAAAAGAGCGUAUUGACCAUAGUAAGACGGCGCAUCGGGAUCGUGCAACGGUCUGGGCCACGAGCCCAUGGCGACGCAGACCCCGCGUGUCCAGGUGCGCGCGGUACCGUUGAGUUUGCCGUGGCCGUGCGGCAGGCCUUUCUCCCACUGACCCUCGUACACGAGGCCGCUGGCAAAGGUCGCACGGCCUUGACCGUGUGGGUAGCCGCUGUGCCAACCGCCUCUGUAGACGGCCAACCGCGCGCGCACCAAUUCCCGAGGCUUGGGCGUCUCGCCGCGGCACUGUACGCAUGCGCAGAAAUCAUCGCUGCGAGACAGGGAAAUCACCGGCUUGUCUGGCGUCACGCGCCGCAUCGACACCCACCCGGCAAUCUCCUCGUCGUCGGUGCACUGGGCGUGCUCUAUGACGACGAGGUUGUGACCGGCAUGCCAGCAGGAGCGCUUGACGGUGACGGCGUAGCCGUUGAGUUGCUUGGUCGCUGGACACGUCCAGCGCCACCAGGAUUCAGAGCCACCGCGCAAGAAAUGCCAAACGGCGCUAAAUCGACGGCUGAAAGCCUUGUCUGCCCUUGCGGCAGCAUAAAAGCGCGGCCAGGCGACGCCGAAUCGCUCGCGCUCGGCAUGCAGGUUCAUGCGAUCGGUCCCGAGGUCGCGGUCGCACCGGGACCUCCACGCGCGCUCGUCGUCAAGUAUGGUCGACGCCAGUUGGCGGCACGUAAGGCCCAGACGCGUGGCAUACUGCGCGCCUCUCUUGCAAAGAAGCAGCAUGUCGACGAUGGCCCAACAUAGUUCGGCCGGAAGUGCCAAUAAAAGGCACGGCUGGUCGAGGACUUGCGGGGGCACACCAGAGGUCUCCAUGUCUAUGCGUGGUUGUUGGGGUGGGCUUUCAGCGCGUGCAGGAUGCGCGAUUUUGAUCCCCCUUGAGCGGCCCGACUCGCCAGCCGAUCUGCAGCGUCCAAUAAUAUGAUGUUUUUUGUUCUCUCGCAAAUGACGAAAAGAGGGGAGCAAUGACCAUUGG